ensembl:lncRNA
UAAGGUGCGUUUGUAGGUAAGGUAAGGUAAGGUAAGGUGUAAGGUGUAAGGUGCGUUUGUAGGUAAGGUAAGGUAAGGUGUAAGAUGUAAGGUGUAAGGUGCGUUUGUAGGUAAGGUAAGGUAAGGUGUAAGGUGCGUUUGUAGGUAAGGUGUAAGAUGUAAGGUGUAAGGUGCGUUUGUAGGUAAGGUGUAAGAUGUAAGGUGUAAGGUGCGUUUGAGGGCAAUAGUAUAUACCUAUUAUGAGUGGCCUAUUAAAUGUAUUUUUUUCCCCACAGGUUACCAAAAGGUGCAACAAGUUCCCUGACAUCUCCAAUGACUUCAUAAACAUUUGUUUAGAAAUUAUAUCUCUCAAG